rnacentral:rRNA from 1 species
AUUGAACGCUGGCGGCAGGCCUAACACAUGCAAGUCGAGCGGAUGAAGGGAGCUUGCUCCUGGAUUCAGCGGCGGACGGGUGAGUAAUGCCUAGGAAUCUGCCUGGUAGUGGGGGAUAACGUCCGGAAACGGGCGCUAAUACCGCAUACGUCCUGAGGGAGAAAGUGGGGGAUCUUCGGACCUCACGCUAUCAGAUGAGCCUAGGUCGGAUUAGCCAGUUGGUGGGGUAAAGGCCUACCAAGGCGACGAUCCGUAACUGGUCUGAGAGGAUGAUCAGUCACACUGGAACUGAGACACGGUCCAGACUCCUACGGGAGGCAGCAGUGGGGAAUAUUGGACAAGGGGCGAAAGCCUGAUCCAGCCAUGCCACGUGUGUGAAGAAGGUCGUCGGAUUGUAAAGCACUUUAAGUUGGGAGGAAGGGCAGUAAGUUAAUACCGUGCUGUUUUGACGUUACCAACAGAAUAAGCACCGGCUAACUUCG